rnacentral:lncRNA from 1 species
AUGCUGCUCUCCUGGGUCAGGGCGAGAGAGCACACACACCACAAGGGUUUCCACAAGGAGGAAGGGCCACGCUGGCGCCAGGGGACCAGGGCCCCUCCACCUGGAGACCCGCACUGCAUCGGGCUGCCACGGCUCCCCAGCCUCCCCAGCCUCCCCUCGCUCUGGGUGUCUGCAGCCACACGGACCCUGCCUGGGGGCCGGGCGGGGGGUGGUGCAGGCCCGGCCUGCACAGAGGCGUGCCAGGGGCACAGAGAGAGGCCCCGGCAUUCUUCUCCCACGUCCCAGGGCCCGAAAGAUGGAUCCCCAAGGCCGGCUCCCCGCCCCCAACACGGCAACAAGGUGCCCACGGAGGCACAUUCAGGCCCACUGGGGCAACCUGCGCCACACCCCCGACACGACCGGGAAACCCAAACCCCUGGCACCUCCUCUGCCUCAGGACUUCCGCCAGGACUCACCGCCCCUGCGGAAACCCUCUCUCUUCCUUUGUUCUCUCCCUCUCUCUCUCUCCCUCUCGGUCCCACCCGCUGUCACCCUUUCCCUGGCGAGCGCGCGCGCACCGAAGCUUUCUCUCCUUUGCUGGACCCAUCCGACGCACGAUCAGCCACUUGCCCUCACAAGAGUCUGUCCGUGCCCACUGGUCUGCGGGAGCUCCUCGGCCUCGCGCGGUGGCACGCCACAAGAUCAGGGGUCCGCCAUGCUGCUCUCCUGGGUCAGGGCGAGAGAGCACACACACCACAAGGGUUUCCACAAGGAGGAAGGGCCACGCUGGCGCCAGGGGACCAGGGCCCCUCCACCUGGAGACCCGCACUGCAUCGGGCUGCCACGGCUCCCCAGCCUCCCCAGCCUCCCCUCUCUCUGGGUGUCUGCAGCCACACGGACCCUGCCUGGGGACGGGCGGGGGGUGGUGCAGGCCCGGCCUGCACAGAGGCGUGCCAGGGGCACAGAGAGAGGCCCCGGCAUUCUUCUCCCACGUCCCAGGGCCCGAAAGAUGGAUCCCCAAGGCCGGCUCCCCGCCCCCCAACACGGCAACAAGGUGCCCCACGGAGGCACAUUCAGGCCCACUGGGGCAACCUGCGCCACACCCCGACACGACCGGGAAACCCAAACCCCUGGCACCUCCUCUGCCUCAGGACUUCCGCCAGGACUCACCGCCCCUGCGGAAACCCUCUCUCUUCCUUUGUUCUCUCCCUCUCUCUCUCUCCCUCUCGGUCCCACCCGCUGUCACCCUUUCCCUGGCGAGCGCGCGCGCACCGAAGCUUUCUCUCCUUUGCUGGACCCAUCCGACGCACGAUCAGCCACUUGCCCUCACAAGAGUCUGUCCGUGCCAGCCGGCUCUCCAGGAACCCCAGCACGGGAGCACUGAUGCUACCCUGCCCUGACGAAGGGUGACGGCCAC